ACUCAAAGGAAUAGACGGGGACCCGCACAAGAGGUGGAUUAUGUGGUUUAAUUCGACGCUACGCGAAAAACCUUACCUGGGCUCGAACGACCGGUAGUAGUUUCUGUGAAAGCAGAGGCGAUCCGCAAGGAAGCCGGCCGAGGUGCUGCAUGGUUGUCGUCAGCUCGUGUCGUGAGAUGUUGGGUUAAGUCCCGCAACGAGCGCAACCCCUAUUCUGUGUUGCUCAGCAAUGAGUUCUCUCAGAAGACUGCCGCGGAUAACGUGGAGGAAGGUGGGGAUGACGUCAAAUCAUCAUGGCCUUUAUGUCCAGGGCUACACACGUAAUACAAUGGUAUAGACAGAGGGCAGCAAUAUCGUAAGAUGGAGCCAAUCCCUAAACUAUGCCCCAGUUCAGAUUGUGGGCUGCAAUUUGCCCGCAUGAAGUUGGAAUCUCUAGUAAUCGCAGAUCAGCACGCUGCGGUGAAUACGUUCCCGGGUCUUGUACACACCGCCCGU
rnacentral:rRNA from 1 species